GCAUGGAAGGAUACACACAUAUAGUUAUGUAAAAUGAGGGAACUGUAGUGCCCCGUGCCAGAGCAAACUGUGGUCUUGAACUAUUGCCUGGCCUCUGCCUGUAGGCUGCAGGCACUGAAGCAGAUUGCACAGUG